CCUACGGGAGGCAGCAGUGAGGACUAUUGGUCAAUGGGCGGGAGCCUGCACCAGCCAAGUCGCGUGAGGGAAGACGGUCCUAUGGAUUGUACACCUCUUUAGGCGGGGAGCAAUGCCGGUCCCGCGUGCCCGGAGGGAGAGUACCCGCAGAAUAAGCAUCGGCUAACUCCGUGCCAGCAGCCGCGGUAAUACGGAGGAUGCGAGCGGUCUCCGGAUUUAUUGGGUUUAAAGGUUGCGUUGGCGGAUUUUUAAGUCAGCGGUAAAAUGUCCGGGCUCAACCCGGGCCGGCCGUUGAAACUGGGGAUCUUGAGUGGGCGAGAGGUAUGCGGAAUGCGUGGUGUAGCGGUGAAAUGCAUAGAUAUCACGAAGAACUCCGAUUGCGAAGGCAGCUCACUGGACUGCAACUGACACUGAUGCUCGAAAGUGUGGGUAUCAAACAGGAUUAGAUACCCUAGUAGUC
rnacentral:rRNA from 1 species